rnacentral:ncRNA from 1 species
AUAAAGUUUUAUUUUAGCUUUAUAGUUUUUUAUAAAUUUAUUUUAUAUGCAAAUUUUUGUGUGAAAUUUUAUUUAUUUUAAAAAUAAAUGAAUUAAAUUAUAUUCGCAGUAAUUAGUAUUAUUGUUUAAAGAAAUUUAGAAAUAGAUAUAUUAUUAAAUAUUGGCAAAAUUUGUGCCAGCUGCCGCGGUUAUACAAAUGAUGUAAAAAAACUUUUUCAAUAUGAGUUAAAUUAUAAAUUAAAAAAUAAAAAGGUAUUUAUUAGGUGAAAUUUUAAAUAUUUAAAUUUUUAAUAAAAUGUAAUGUUGAAGCUUACAAAAUUUAAAUAUAAACUAGGAUUAGAUACCCUAUUAUUUAAAUUGUAAAAUAUAAAAUUUGAGUAGUAUUAGAUAUGAUCUUGAAACUUAAAAAAUUUGGCGGUAUUUUAGUCUAUUCAGAGGAAUUUGUUCUGUAAUCGAUGAUCCCCGAUGGACCUCACUUAAAUUAGUUAAUCAGUUUAUAUACCGUCGUUAUUAGAAUAUUUUAUAAAAAUAAUAAUUUUCUUAAUUUUUAAUAAAAAUAUAUAUCAGAUCAAGGUGUAGCUUAUGUUUAAGUAGAAAUGAAUUACAAUAAAAUUAUUUAUACGAAUUUAAAUAUGAAAAAUUUAAUGAAGGUGGAUUUGAUAGUAAAAUUAUAAAGAUUAAUAAUUUGAUUUUAGCUCUAAAAUAUGCACACAUCGCCCGUCGCUCUUAUUAUUAAGAUAAGAUAAGUCGUAACAUAGUAGAGGUACCGGAAGGUGUCUCUAGAAUGA